rnacentral:rRNA from 1 species
GACGAACGCUGGCGGCGUGCUUAACACAUGCAAGUCGAACGGUAAGGCCCUUCGGGGUACACGAGUGGCGAACGGGUGAGUAACACGUGGGUGAUCUGCCCUGCACUUCGGGAUAAGCCUGGGAAACUGGGUCUAAUACCGGAUAGGACCACUGCCUGCAUGGGUGGUGGUGGAAAGCUUUUGCGGUGUGGGAUGGGCCCGCGGCCUAUCAGCUUGUUGGUGGGGUGAUGGCCUACCAAGGCGACGACGGGUAGCCGGCCUGAGAGGGUGACCGGCCACACUGGGACUGAGAUACGGCCCAGACUCCUACGGGAGGCAGCAGUGGGGAAUAUUGCACAAUGGGCACAAGCCUGAUGCAGCGACGCCGCGUGAGGGAUGACGGCCUUCGGGUUGUAAACCUCUUUCAGCACCGACGAAGCGCAAGUGACGGUAGGUGCAGAAGAAGGACCGGCCAACUACGUGCCAGCCGCCGCGGUAA